GGGCUAAGGCUCUGCGUAGGAAACUGGGUCUGUCUGACUCUGGGACUGAGAAGACCCAGGGUCCUUAAUUCUAUAGAGGGGUCACUUCUCCCUGAAUGCAGUCCUGUCCACAGGGUCACCCUGCAAAUCCCCAGUUCCUUUAGAGGUGGAACCCCUCUGUGCUUGACAGUGACUGCCUCUGAGAGAGCUGGGAGGGUGUUGGGGGAGAGGGGAGUGGGGAAGAGUCUAGUGUUCUGUGGCUUGCUAGACAUGAGCCUUUGUAGCCCGGGAAAACUUCCCCAAGGUUCUCCCUGCAGGACUGUUAUUUGGGGGUAUCAUCCAGAGGGAUGUUGACCUCAUUAAUGCCCUGGGUCAGGGAUUGAUACUGGGGUGAAUGUCUUAAGGCUCCCUCUCAGAAGGCUUCCUGUCCACUCAAACUGCCCCUUUAUUCUCCAGCUUCUCAGUGUGGCUGUGGAAGUUACAAAGGACUCUUGGCUCCUGCAAUUCAUCAAUGUCUAGGUCCAGCAUCAGUUUAUUGGAGGGUCCCAGCUGAUACAAGAACACCAUCAGACCUAUCCUUCCAUGAAGCGCUGCUGGGGGAAAUCUCGGCAAUAGGACCACCUCAACGAUAUAACCGAUGGAACCGAGGCCCAGAGAAGUGAAGUGACAUGCCC